rfam:Dengue virus type 1 clone 45AZ5, complete genome.
AGUUGUUAGUCUACGUGGACCGACAAGAACAGUUUCGAAUCGGAAGCUUGCUUAACGUAGUUCUAACAGUUUUUUAUUAGAGAGCAGAUCUCUGAUGAACAACCAACGGAAAAAGACGGGUCGACCGUCUUUCAAUAUGCUGAAAC